ACAAACUUGGUCAUUUAGAGGAAGUAAAAGUCGUAACAAGGUUUCCGUAGGUGAACCUGCGGAAGGAUCAUUAACACUAAAAAAUCCAAUGUCUAAACAUCCGUUUUGGACAUUUAACCCCCCUUUUUUUGUGAACUAUUUUUUUUAUUUUUCUCUUUCUAUUUUUUUUUAAAACCCAAAUUGAAACUUUCUAGACUGAAACUUGAUUUUUUUUUUCUUAACCGAAAAAAAAAUAAAAAAAACAAAAUGACUAUACAACUCUUAACAACGGAUAUCUUGGUUCUCGCAUCAAUGAAGAACGCAGC
rnacentral:misc_RNA from 1 species